rnacentral:lncRNA from 1 species
GGAAAAGAAAGCCCACUCCUGUGUGGGCUAAAAUGAAGCUAAAAGAAACACAGGAAAGGGCCAGAUGUCCUGGAUGGAGGGAAGGACAAUAAGAACAAAGGCUCAGCGCUACCUUCAGCAUAUCUCCGUGGCUUGGCAGGUGAGGAAGCUGAGGCUAGCAGAAACAAGAGGUGACCACAGACCCGUCUGA